GCCGGGCAGCCACACCCCUCCCUCAGCCAGCCGCGCUUGAUUUACUCCGCCGGGCCGCUAAGCCACGCGGAAGGCCGCACGUGGGCACGGAUGGUGCGGCUUCCUGCCCGGGAAGCGCUCGCCAGGAAAAGAGAAAAGGCCUUUGGCGACAGAGGACCUUGCGUUCCGGUCCUGGACACCGCCGGCCAGGGACUUAGGCCCGAGGCCCUCACCUUCAGCACCAAAUCGGUCAGGUAGACGGCAGCCCAGCCACCCACCACUAAGACCACCAGCGACAUCGGAAUCAUGGCGGCAGCGGAAAGAAGGCGAGUGCCGGGGUCCACCUCUCUGCGAGCCGCAAACCGUCCCGUGCUUUAUUGCCACAAAAUCGGCGCAGGAACUAAGUUGUCUCCGGGUCUUUUGCCGCGGUGGCGACGUUUCCCUCCGGAGCCUUCCCCUGAACACACACGGGCAGAUUUGGAACCUAAAAAUUUAGUUAUUCAACUGAGUUGGUGUUCUCAUCAGGAGCCCAGCAGUCAAAACAAAGCACUGAAUUGAAUCCUGCUGGUUCCUGAAAUUUAGCAGUCGUGGAAGCCAGCUGGUGGCAGCAGAAGAGACCUGACAGAGGAUGCACAAAAUGACAGCAAAGAAUGCUUCAUUAUAAAAGAUCACGGUGCCAACUGCUGUCCACAGAUGUGCUGAGAGGCAAAGUGAGUGAAGGGCACACUGGAAGAAGAAAGCUGGUUCACAGUGACUCGUACUGUGCUAGUA